rnacentral:sRNA from 1 species
AUCUCCUGGGCGCGUUCUCCUCCCAUUAGCGCCCUCGAGUGUUCCCCUCUGGAGGUUAGCCUUAACAGGCACUCCAAUCAAACUCAGCCGGAUCUUCAUUGAUCCGGCUUUUUU